rnacentral:rRNA from 1 species
UCAUGCUCAGAUGAACGCUAGCGGCAUGCUCAACACAUGCAAGUCGAGCGGUAGCAGCGAGACGAGCUUGCUCUCUGCUGACGAGCUGGCGGACGGGUGAGUAAUGUAUGGGGAUCGUGCCCGAGUAGACGGGGGGAUAACUACUGGAAAACGAGUGGCUAAUACCGCAUAACGUCUUACGGACCGAAAGCGGGGGGGUCUCGAGACCUCUCACUAUCGGAUGCGCCCGAUAUGGGAUUAGCUAGUAGGUGGGGUAAAGGCUCACCGAGGGCGACGAUCUCUAACUGGUGUGAGAGGAUGAUCAGCCCCCCUGGGAAUGAGACACGGCCCCGACUCCUACGGGAGGCAGCAGUGGGGAAUAUUGCACAAUGGGCGCAAGCCCUGAUGCCAGCCAUCCUCUUGUAUGAAGAAGGCCUUAGGGUUGUAAAGUACUUUCAGCGGGGAGGAAGGUGAUAAGGUUAAUACCCUUAUCAAUUGACGUUACCCGCAGAAAAAGCCCCGGCUAACUCCGUGCCAGCAACCGCGGUAAUACGGAGGGUGCAAGCGUUUAUCGGAAUUUCUGGGCGUUAAGCGCACGCAGGCGGUCAAGUAAGUUAGAUGUGAAAUCCCAGAGCUUAACUUGGGAAUUGCAUUUGAAACUGGCUAGCUAGAGUCUUGUAGAGGGGGGUAGAAUUCCAUGUGUAGCGGUGAAAUGCGUAGAGAUGUGGAGGAAUACCGGUGGCGAAGGCGGCCCCCUGGACAAAGACUGACGCUCAGGCGCGAAAAGCGUGGGGAGCAAACAGGAUUAGAUACCCUGGUAGUCCACGCCGUAAAACGAUGUCGAUUUAGAUGUUGUGGCCGUGAGGCGUUACUAUUGUAGCUAACGCGCGAA